UCCCCAUGUCCCUGUCCUUGUCCCCAUCCCCAUCCCAUCCCCGUGUCCCAUGUCCCACCCUGUCCCUGUGUCCCUGUCCCCAUCCCCGUGUCCCCAUCCCUGUGUCCUCAUGUCCCGCCCUGUCCCCAUCUCCAGGUCCCCAUGUCCCCAUCCUGGUGUCCCCAUCCCCAUGUCCUUGUCCCCAUCCCCAUCCCCGUGUCCUCAUGUCCUGCCCUGUCCCUGUGUCCCUGUCCCCAUCCCCAUGUCCUCGUCCCCAUCCCCAUAUCCCCAUCCCGGUGUCCCCGUCCCGGUGUCCCCGUGUCCCCGUCCCCGCCGCGCGCCCCCGGCUCACUCUUGGUGUCGAGCUGGGCCCGGUAGCGGGCGAAGCCGCGCAGGCGCACGCGGGAGCCCAGCAGCGCCAGGAACUCGGCGAAGGGCGGCCCGGCGCCCUCGUUGUUGUACAUCUCCUCCUCGGAGCCCUGCCCCGCGCGGCAGUACAGCACCCCCACCUUGCGCUGGGCGCUCACCUGCGGCGGGGGGGGCACGGCCUCGCAGCGUCCUCGGGCAGCGGUGCGAGCCCCCGCGCCGACGCACGGCGCCCUCGUGCAAGGGCACUGCACCCUCGUGCGAAUGCACAGCACUCUCGUGCAAGAGCACAGAGCCCCCGCGUCGAUGCACGGCAUCCUCGUGCGAAUGCACGGCGCCUUCGUUCAAGGGCACUGCACCCUCGUGCAAGAGCACAAGCCCCCGCGCCGACACAUGGCACCCUCGUGUGAAUGCACAGCACCCUCAUGCAAGGGCACAGAGCCCCCGCGCCGACGCACGGCACCCUCGUGCGAAUGCACAGCGCCCUCGUGCAAGAGCACAGAGCCCCUGGGCCAAUGCACAGCACCCUCGUGCAAAUGCACCACACCCUUGUGCAAGUGCAUACCUCCCUCGUGCAAAUGCACAGCGCCCCUGGGCCAAUGCACGGUGCCCUCGUGCAAAUGCACAGCGCCCUUGUGCAACGGCAUGCCGCCCUCGUGCAAGCGCAUACCUCCCUCGUGCAAAUGCAUAGUGCCCCUGGGCCAGUGCACGGUGCCCUUGUGCAAGAGCACAGAGCCCCUGGGCCAAUGCACAGCACCCUCGUGCAAAUGCACUGCACCCUUGUGCAAGUGCAUACCACUCUCGUGCAAAUGCACAGGGCCCUUGUGCAAGGGCACGUCACCCUUGUGCCAGUGUGCAGCACCCCCAUGUCAAUGCACAGCACCCUCGUGCCAAUGCACUGCGUCUUUGCACAAGCACACGCCACCCUUGUGCCAAUGCACAGCACCCUCGCGCAGGUUCCCACUGCCAUGGCGCGAAUGCACGCCGCCCUUGCGCGAGGGCCCACCGCCCUCCUGCAAACGCGCAGCGCCUUCAUGCGAGGGCGCGCUGCCCUCACGUGCGUGCGCAGCGCCCUUGGGCAAACACACGCUGCCCUCGUGCAAGCACACACGGCACUCACUCAAAUGCGUGCUGCCCCCGUGCAAAUGCACAGCGCCCUUGUGCAAAUGCACGCUGCCCUCGUGCAAGCACACACUGCACUCACUCAAAUGCACGCUGCCCUUGUGCAAAUGCAUGCUGCCCUCGUGCAAGCACACACGGCAUUCACUCAAAUGCGUGCUGCUCCCGUGCAAAUGCACAGCGCCCUUGUGCAAAUGCACGCUGCCCUCGUGCAAGCACACACGGCACUCACUCAAAUGCACGCUGCCCUGGUGCAAAUGCACAGCGCCCUUGUGCAAAUGCACGCUGCCCUCGUGCAAGCACACACGGCACUCACUCAAAUGCACGCUGCCCUCGUGCAAAUGCACGCUGCCCUCAUGCAAACACACACUGCAUUCACUCAGAUGCACGCUGCCCUCGUGCAAAUGCACGCUGCCCUCGUGCAAGCACACACGGCACUCACUCAAAUGCACGCUGCCCCCGUGCAAGCCCC
rnacentral:lncRNA from 1 species